rnacentral:lncRNA from 1 species
CCAACUCCUCGGCUGCAGCGGUGUUGGCAAUGCCAAGAAUGAGCUUCUACAAUGUACAUUUCUCGACAUCAAGCGACCUCCUUCGGUCUAGUCGUGAAUGCAGAUAGCAGAAAUUACCGACACUCAGAACUUACCGAAAAACAUUGCAGGCCAGCAAGGCUGCUGUCCUCAACUUCUUCGAGACCCUGCGGAUGGAGCUCCGCGACGAGGUCGGCAUCACGAUCGCCACUCCCGGGUGGAUCGAGUCGGAGAUGACGAAAGGAAAGCACCUGUCGAAGGAAGGGACAGUGGAAGUCGAUCAGGACAUGAGAGAUGUGAGUACACUACCUGUGUGAUGUGCCUGCCUCAACCUCGAAUCCUCAAAUGCAUGAUGAGCUUGGAUUCUUGGAUUGUGCAGGCUCAGGUCGGC